CCCGUAGUGAUAUAAUGUAAUUUCAAAAGGCAGCUACAUAAUUGUCUCUUUCUGGAAAAUCAUCAUGUGGAUUUUUAAGCUAAGCCUCGAGUGUAGAUGUCAUCAGUUGGUCAAUUGUUUUAAAUACUACUAAAGGAAGAUUUAUGUGAAAAUUAUAAUCAAAUGAAGAUACUUUUGAUGAAAUGCGAGUACUUCCUAGCUGAAAAUAAUAUUUGCAUAUGUUGAACAAAUCUCAAACACAAAUGGGCAUGAACACGAAGGAAUAGUUAUCGUACAAGGAGCAGUCUUCUCUUCAUUACAUUUGCCGACAGACAGAAGCCCAUACAACAUGAUAGUGGUGGAAUAUAACAAAACCGUUAG